CGGGCGUUAAGUUGCAGGGUAUAGACCCGAAACCCGGUGAUCUAGCCAUGGGCAGGUUGAAGGUUGGGUAACACUAACUGGAGGACCGAACCGACUAAUGUUGAAAAAUUAGCGGAUGACCUGUGGCUGGGGGUGAAAGGCCAAUCAAACCGGGAGAUAGCUGGUUCUCCCCGAAAGCUAUUUAGGUAGCGCCUCGUGAAUUCAUCUCCGGGGGUAGAGCACUGUUUCGGCUAGGGGGCCAUCCCGGCUUACCAACCCGAUGCAAACUGCGAAUACCGGAGAAUGUUAUCACGGGAGACACACGGCGGGUGCUAACGUCCGUCGUGAAGAGGGAAACAACCCAGACCGCCAGCUAAGGUCCCAAAGUCAUGGUUAAGUGGGAAACGAUGUGGGAAGGCCCAGACAGCCAGGAUGUUGGCUUAGAAGCAGCCAUCAUUUAAAGAAAGCGUAAUAGCUCACUGGUCGAGUCGGCCUGCGCGGAAGAUGUAACGGGGCUAAACCAUGCACCGAAGCUGCGGCAGCGACACUGUGUGUUGUUGGGUAGGGGAGCGUUCUGUAAGCCUGUGAAGGUGUGUCGUGAGGCAUGCUGGAGGUAUCAGAAGUGCGAAUGCUGACAUAAGUAACGAUAAAGCGGGUGAAAAGCCCGCUCGCCGGAAGACCAAGGGUUCCUGUCCAACGUUAAUCGGGGCAGGGUGAGUCGACCCCUAAGGCGAGGCCGAAAGGCGUAGUCGAUGGGAAACGGGUUAAUAUUCCCGUACUUGGUGUUACUGCGAAGGGGGGACGGAGAAGGCUAUGUUGGCCGGGCGACGGUUGUCCCGGUUUAAGCGUGUAGGCUGGUUUUCCAGGCAAAUCCGGAAAAUCAAGGCUGAGGCGUGAUGACGAGGCACUACGGUGCUGAAGCAACAAAUGCCCUGCUUCCAGGAAAAGCCUCUAAGCAUCAGGUAACAUCAAAUCGUACCCCAAACCGACACAGGUGGUCAGGUAGAGAAUACCAAGGCGCUUGAGAGAACUCGGGUGAAGGAACUAGGCAAAAUGGUGCCGUAACUUCGGGAGAAGGCACGCUGACACGUAGGUGAAGUGAUUUACUCAUGGAGCUGAAGUCAGUCGAAGAUACCAGCUGGCUGCAACUGUUUAUUAAAAACACAGCACUGUGCAAACACGAAAGUGGACGUAUACGGUGUGACGCCUGCCCGGUGCCGGAAGGUUAAUUGAUGGGGUCAGCGCAAGCGAAGCUCCUGAUCGAAGCCCCGGUAAACGGCGGCCGUAACUAUAACGGUCCUAAGGUAGCGAAAUUCCUUGUCGGGUAAGUUCCGACCUGCACGAAUGGCGUAAUGAUGGCCAGGCUGUCUCCACCCGAGACUCAGUGAAAUUGAACUCGCUGUGAAGAUGCAGUGUACCCGCGGCAAGACGGAAAGACCCCGUGAACCUUUACUAUAGCUUGACACUGAACAUUGAGCCUUGAUGUGUAGGAUAGGUGGGAGGCUUUGAAGUGUGGACGCCAGUCUGCAUGGAGCCGACCUUGAAAUACCACCCUUUAAUGUUUGAUGUUCUAACGUGGACCCGUUACCCGGGUUGCGGACAGUGUCUGGUGGGUAGUUUGACUGGGGCGGUCUCCUCCUAAAGAGUAACGGAGGAGCACGAAGGUUGGCUAAUCCUGGUCGGACAUCAGGAGGUUAGUGCAAUGGCAUAAGCCAGCUUGACUGCGAGCGUGACGGCGCGAGCAGGUGCGAAAGCAGGUCAUAGUGAUCCGGUGGUUCUGAAUGGAAGGGCCAUCGCUCAACGGAUAAAAGGUACUCCGGGGAUAACAGGCUGAUACCGCCCAAGAGUUCAUAUCGACGGCGGUGUUUGGCACCUCGAUGUCGGCUCAUCACAUCCUGGGGCUGAAGUAGGUCCCAAGGGUAUGGCUGUUCGCCAUUUAAAGUGGUACGCGAGCUGGGUUUAGAACGUCGUGAGACAGUUCGGUCCCUAUCUGCCGUGGGCGCUGGAGAACUGAGGGGGGCUGCUCCUAGUACGAGAGGACCGGAGUGGACGCAUCACUGGUGUUCGGGUUGUCAUGCCAAUGGCACUGCCCGGUAGCUAAAUGCGGAAGAGAUAAGUGCUGAAAGCAUCUAAGCACGAAACUUGCCCCGAGAUGAGUUCUCCCUGAGACUUAGAGUCUC
rnacentral:rRNA from 1 species